GGGCCCCGCCCCCCCGACCUGCAGAGCCCGCCCCCGAAGGGGGACGCGGUGCGAGGGGCGUUUCUCCCACCCGCGAACCUCCGCUGGUCUCCAAGCACGCCCUUGUCAGCUCCGGCUGCCGGUCGUGGAUGCCUCGGAGGGAAAGCUAGGCUCCCGACCCCGGAUCCCGGAGCGCCGGUGCCAGCCCUGCCCACCCGAGGGCACUGGGUAAUAAAGAGACCCAGUGCACAGCUGUGGAGCGACUGAGAUGAGCACGAGAAGAUCUCUGCCGUCCAGGAGCCUGCUGCCCACUUAGGAAGACCGGCAUGUAAUUAAAUGAAUAUUGUGUUAGAAGCAUCUGGGAGUUUUACCUGAAACACUCCUUAGGGAGGUGAUACUUACGUUGUUCUUUCCUGUCUGUCUCCCACAACAGCGGACGUUUUCUUAGGCAUGAAACACAAAAAGCAAAGUAAAGUGGGCUUGGGAAGAAUAGUCCUGAAGACGAGAGACACUGAUUUCCUCUCUUCUUUCAUUACUAAGCAUUUUGAAAGGAGACGAUAAUACAUCCUUCGUUUCCACGUUCUCUUUAAAGACUUCUGUGUUCUCACUUCUGUCCCCCGUCCUCUACUUGCACUGUUCUUAAACAUAGUAUCAUUGGUCUAUCAUAUGAAUAUAUCGUUUUAUUCAUUCUUAUGAUAAUGGCCAUCUGAGUUAUUUCCAUCUUUGCUGUUACAAAUAAUGCAGCUGGGAACAUUCAGGUACAUGUCUCCUGUGUGGAAUUGCUGGCUGGAACUGCUGAAUCAUAGGGUAUGCCCACAUCCAACCUCAUUAGAUAAUCCUAGAUUAUAUUACUAAGUGGUUAUGCCAUUUUACCACCCCUCCCGGCAGUGGAUAAGACUCCACGUUUUCAACACUUAAUAUUUUAAGGUUCUUAAUUUUUGCUAAUUUACUGGG
rnacentral:lncRNA from 1 species